rnacentral:rRNA from 1 species
AAAUUGAAGAGUUUGAUCAUGGCUCAGAUUGAACGCUGGCGGCAGGCCUAACACAUGCAAGUCGAACGGUAACAGGAAGCAGCUUGCUGCUUCGCUGACGAGUGGCGGACGGGUGAGUAAUGUCUGGGAAACUGCCUGAUGGAGGGGGAUAACUACUGGAAACGGUGGCUAAUACCGCAUAACGUCGCAAGACCAAAGAGGGGGACCUUCGGGCCUCUUGCCAUCAGAUGUGCCCAGAUGGGAUUAGCUAGUUGGUGAGGUAACGGCUCACCAAGGCGACGAUCCCUAGCUGGUCUGAGAGGAUGACCAGCCACACUGGAACUGAGACACGGUCCAGACUCCUACGGGAGGCAGCAGUGGGGAAUAUUGCACAAUGGGCGCAAGCCUGAUGCAGCCAUGCCGCGUGUAUGAAGAAGGCCUUCGGGUUGUAAAGUACUUUCAGCGGGGAGGAAGGUGUUGUGGUUAAUAACCACAGCAAUUGACGUUACCCGC